ACUCUCGGCAACGGAUAUCUCGCUCUCGAUCGAUGAAGAACGAACGAGCAAAAUGCGAUACUUGGUGUGAAUUGCAUAAUCCCGUGAACCAUCGAAGUCUUUGAACGCAAGUUGCGCCCCAAGCCUUCUCGGGCCGAGGGCACGCCCGCCUGGGUGUCACAAAUCGUCGCCCCCAUCCUCUCGAGGAUAUGGGAUGGAAGCUGAUCUCCCCCGGUGUUACCGCGACGCGGUUGGCCAAAAUCCGAAGCUAAGGACGCCGAGCGCCUUGACAUGCGGUGGUGAAUUUAAUUUCGCCAUAUAGUCGACGCUCCGUCCAAAAGCUCUUUGAUGACCCAAAGUCCUCAACGCGACCCCAGGUCAGGCGGGAUCACCCGCUGAGUUUAAGCAUAUCAAUAAGCCGGAGGAAAAGAAACUAACAAGGAUUCCCUUAGUAACGGGCGAGCUUAACCGGAAGAGCCCAGCUUGAAAAUCGGAUGUCUUCGGCGCUCAAUUGUAGUCUGGAGAAGCGCCCUCAGCGACGGACCGGGCCCAAGUUCCCUGGAAAGGGGCGCCAGAGAGGGUGAGAGCCCCGCCGCGUUCGACCCUGUCGCACCACGCAGGCGCUGUUCACGAAGUCGGGUUGUUUGGGAAUGCAGCCCCAAUCGGGCGGUAAAUUCGGCCCAAGGCUAAAUAUGGGCGAGAGACCGAUAGCGUAACAAGUACCGCGAGGUAAAGAUGAAAAGGACUUUGAAAAGAGAGUCAAAGAGUGCUUGAAAUUGUCGGAGGGAAGCGGAUGGGGGGCCGGCGAUGCGCCCUGGUCGGAUGCGGAACGGAGCAAUCCCGUCCGCCGAUCGAUUCGGGCGCGGACCGACGCGGAUUAAGGUGGUGACCUAAGCCCGGCUUUUUGUUACGCCCGCGGAGACGCCGCUGCCUUUAAUCGCGGGUUCAGCAGCACGCUUCACGGCGCGGCUCUCGCAUCUGCGUGUUCAGGGCGCCGGCCUGUGGGUUCCCCAUUCAACCCGCCUUCAAAAACACGGACCAAGGAGUCUGACAUGUGUGCGAAGUCAACGGGUGAGUAAACCCGUAAGGCGCAAGGAAGCUGAUUGGUUGAUCCUCACGGUGCACAGCCGACCGACCUUGAUCUUCCGAGAAGGGUUCGAGUGUGAGCAUACCUGUCGGGACCCAAAGAUGGUGAACUAUGCCUGAAGGGCGAAGCCGAGGAAACUCUGGUGGAGGCCCGCAGCGAUACUGACGGCAAAUCGCUCGCCUGACUUGGGUAUAGGGCUUAAAGACUAAUCGAACCAUCUAGUAGCUGGUUCCUCCCAAGUUUCCCUCAGGAUAGCUGGAGCUCGAAACGAAGUUCUAUCGGGUAAAGCCAAUGAUUAGAGGCAUCGGGACGAAUGUCCUCGACCUAUUCUCAAACUUUAAAUAGGUAGGACGGGUGGCUGCUUUGUUGAGCCAUCCCACGGAAUCGAGAGCUCCAAGUGGGCCAUUUUUGGUAAGCAGAACUGGCGAUGCGGGAUGAACCGAAGCCGGGUUACGGUGCCCAAACCGCGCGCUAACCUAGAACCCACAAAGGGUGUUGGUCGAUUAAGACAGCAGGACGGUGGUCAUGGAAGUCGAAAUCCGCUAAGGAGUGUGUAACAACUCACCCGCCAAUCAACCUGAAGCGCGCGACCUAUACCCCGCCGCCGGGGCAAGAGCCAGGCCUCGAUGAGUAGGAGGGCGGGCGGUCGCUGCAAAACCUAGGGCGCGAGCCCGGGCGAGCGGCCGCCGGUGCAGAUCUUGGUGGUAGCAAAUAAAUAUUCAAAUGAGGUCAAGAGGGGAAGGUUCCAGGGGAAAGGUUCCAUGUCCUAAGAGCACUUUUGCACAUGAAAGGGGAUCCGAUCCUAAGAGUCGGGGAAACCGGGGAGUCCGAGACGCCGGCGGGAUCGAAAGAGUUAUCUUUUUUCUGUUUAACAGCCUUCGAAAGGGGAUAGGGUCCAAAACCGAACAGCCAACUCAGAACUGGUACUGACAAGGGGAAUCCCACUGUUUAAUUAAAACAAAGCAUUGGCGAUGGUCCGCGAUGCUAACGAAUGUGAUUUCGUUCGAAUGUCAAAGUGAAGAAAUUCAACCAAGCUGGUAAACGGGAGUAACUAUGACUCUCUUAAGGUAGCCAAAUGGCCAUCUAAUUAGUGAGAUGAAUGGAUUAACGAGAUUCCCACGGUCCCUGUCUACUAUCCAGCAAAACCACAGCCAAGGAACGGGCUUGGCAGAAUCAGCGGGAAAGAAGACCCGUUCCAUGGACUUAGUCCGACUUUUUGUGAAAUGAGAGAGGUUAGAAUAAGUGGGAUAUAAGGAAACUUUUAACGUUAUUUUACUUACCGAAUCCGUGAAUCGGAGGCGGGUAACAACCCCAUCUUUAGACGAGGUGUCCAAGUCAACGCAAAAGGGUAAAAGGCUUUUGAUUCGAUCAAAGAGGACAAGUGGGAGUUUGGCCAGCUCAAGGUGGCAGCUAGGAGCAAGUAGGAUUGUUGGGACGCCAUGGUUCGAGGAAACAGCUCAGUCAAGGCAAGCCCAUGGUCGAGAAAGAAGGUUAAGGAUAUAAGGAAAACUUAGACUUAACCUGGAAGUUAGGUGUUAGCUAGACUAAGACGGUAGCUGACAAAGGCAGCUGGCCAGCUCAAGGAAGUGUCCAGCUCAGUCCCUACUAAGUCAGCUCCACUAGCUGGACAACUAGUCAGCUGAGGCAGCUGAGUGUCAGCUCAUUCAGCUAGACGGAGGCCGGCUGUCCGGCUUUAGCCGAUGGUCCCGGGUCUGGGUCAGUGGCAUGGCUGGGAGGUCCGCCAUGAGGCCAUGGGCUGUUGGGUCCUUGGUCGGGGGGCUGUGGGCUGUGCCCAGAAGGCCUAGGGCGUGGGUUGGGCUUGU
rnacentral:rRNA from 1 species